UACGUAGGGGGCAAGCGUUGUCCGGAAUCAUUGGGCGUAAAGCGCGUGUAGGCGGCUGGGUAAGUCCGCUCUGAAAGCCCUGGGCUCAACCCAGGAAGUGCAUUCGAAACUGCAGAGCUGGAGUCCUGGAGAGGAAGGCGGAAUUCUCGGUGUAGAGGUGAAAUUCGUAGAUAUCGAGAGGAACACCGGUGGCGAAGGCGGCCUUCUGGACAGUGACUGACGCUGAGACGCGAAAGCGUGGGGAGCAAACAGG
rnacentral:rRNA from 1 species